AAGUCGUAACAAGGUUUCCGUAGGUGAACCUGCGGAAGGAUCAUUACAAAUAAAGCUGGUAGGAAGUGGGGUCUUGAUCUGUAAGUGGUAGAGCGAACAGUCCGGCUGCCUCCCGAAAUGUCUUACAUGUCCCCCCACAGCCUGAAGGCCGAAUUACAACCCUUGAUUAUCUACACUUGUUCUUGGGUUGGGCUCAGUCAGCCGUAGGCCCAGACCGAACCCUAUCUUGCAUCUUGCAUUGUGACGUCUGAGUACUAUAUAAUAUUUAAAA
rnacentral:misc_RNA from 1 species